rnacentral:tRNA from 1 species
GGGAUUAUAGUUUAUUAAAAACAUUUAAAUUGCAAUUAAAUAAAACUAUUAAAGUUUAUCUCA